GACGAACGCUGGCGGCGUGCUUAACACAUGCAAGUCGAGCGGAAAGGCCCUUCGGGGUACUCGAGCGGCGAACGGGUGAGUAACACGUGAGUAACCUGCCCCAGACUUUGGGAUAACCCUCGGAAACGGGGGCUAAUACCGGAUACGACACAGCUUCGCAUGGGGUCUGUGUGGAAAGUUUUUCGGUUUGGGAUGGGCUCGCGGCCUAUCAGCUUGUUGGUGGGGUGAUGGCCUACCAAGGCGACGACGGGUAGCCGGCCUGAGAGGGCGACCGGCCACACUGGGACUGAGACACGGCCCAGACUCCUACGGGAGGCAGCAGUGGGGAAUAUUGCACAAUGGGCGGAAGCCUGAUGCAGCGACGCCGCGGGAGGGAUGACGGCCUUCGGGUUGUAAACCUCUUUCAGCAGGGACGAAGCGUAAGUGACGGUACCUGCAGAAGAAGCGCCGGCCAACUACGUGC
rnacentral:rRNA from 1 species